CUUGGCUAAGGUGUCUUGGCUAAGGUGUCUUGGCUAAUGUGUCUUGGCUAAAGUGUCUUGGCUAAGGUGUCUUGGCUAAGGUGUCUUGGCUAAGGUGUCUUGGCUAAGGUGUCUUGGCUAAUGUGUCUUGGCUAAUGUGUCUUGGCUAAAGUGUCUUGGCUAAGGUGUCUUGGCUAAGGUGUCUUGGCUUAGGUGUCUUGGCUAAGGUGUCUUGGCUAAGGUGUCUUGGCUAAUGUGUCUUGGCUAAUGUGUCUUGGCUAAAGUGUCUUGGCUAAGGUGUCUUGGCUAUUGUGUCUUGGCUAAGGUGUCUUGGCUAAGGUGUCUUGGCUAAUGUGUCUUGGCUAAAGUGUCUUGGCUAAGGUGUCUUGGCUAAGGUGUCUUGGCUAAGGUGUCUUGGCUAAAGUGUCUUGGCUAAUGUGUCUUGGCUAAUGUGUCUUGGCUAAGGUGUCUUGGCUAAGGUGUCUUGGCUUAUGUGUCUCGGCUAAUGUGUCUUGGCUAAGGUGUCUUGGCUAAGGUGUCUUGGCUAAUGUGUCUUGGCUAAGGUGUCUUGGCUAAUGUGUCUUGGCUAAUGUGUCUUGGCUAAGGUGUCUUGGCUAAUGUGUCUUGGCUAAUGUGUCUUGGCUAAGGUGUCUUGGCUAAUGUGUCUCGGCUAAUGUGUCUUGGCUAAGGUGUCUUGGCUAAGGUGUCUUGGCUUAUGUGUCUCGGCCAAUGUGUCUUGGCUAAGGUGUCUUGGCUAAAGUGUCUUGGCUAAGGUGUCUUGGCUAAGGUGUCUUGGCUAAGGUGUCUUGGCUAAGGUGUCUUGGCUAAUGUGUCUUGGCUAAAGUGUCUUGGCUAAGGUGUCUUGGCUAAGGUGUCUUGGCUAAGGUGUCUUGGCUAAGGUGUCUUGGCUAAUGUGUCUUGGCUAAUGUGUCUUGGCUAAAGUGUCUUGGCUAAGGUGUCUUGGCUAAGGUGUCUUGGCUAAGGUGUCUUGGCUAAGGUGUCUUGGCUAAUGUGUCUUGGCUAAGGUGUCUUGGCUAAUGUGUCUCGGCUAAUGUGUCUUGGCUAAGGUGUCUUGGCUAAGGUGUCUUGGCUUAUGUGUCUCGGCCAAUGUGUCUUGGCUAAAGUGUCUUGGCUAAGGUGUCUUGGCUAAGGUGUCUUGGCUAAGGUGUCUUGGCUAAGGUGUCUUGGCUAAGGUGUCUUGGCUAAUGUGUCUUGGCUAAAGUGUCUUGGCUAAGGUGUCUUGGCUAAGGUGUCUUGGCUAAGGUGUCUUGGCUAAGGUGUCUUGGCUAAUGUGUCUUGGCUAAUGUGUCUUGGCUAAAGUGUCUUGGCUAAGGUGUCUUGGCUAAGGUGUCUUGGCUAAGGUGUCUUGGCUAAGGUGUCUUGGCUAAUGUGUCUUGGCUAAUGUGUCUUGGCUAAUGUGUCUUGGCUAAAGUGUCUUGGCUAAGGUGUCUUGGCUAUUGUGUCUUGGCUAAGGUGUCUAGGCUAAUGUGUCUUGGCUAAGGUGUCUUGGCUAAGGUGUCUUGGCUUAUGUGUCUCGGCUAAUGUGUCUUGGUCAAGGUGUCUUGGCUAAGGUGUCUUGGCUAAUGUGUCUUGGCUAAGGUGUCUUGGCUAAUGUGUCUUGGCUAAGGUGUCUAGGCUAAUGUAUCUUGGCUAAUGUGUCUUGGCUAAUGUGUCUUGGCUAAGGUGUCUUGGCUAAUGUGUCUUGGCUAAGGUGUCUUGGCUAAUGUGUCUUGGCUAAGGUGUCUUGGCUUAUGUGUCUCGGCUAAUGUGUCUUGGCUAAUGUGUCUUGGCUAAGGUGUCUUGGCUAAAGUGUCUUGGCUAAGGUGUCUUGGCUAAGGUGUCUUGGCUAAUGUGUCUUGGCUAAGGUGUCUUGGCUAAGGUGUCUUGGCUAAGGUGUCUUGGCUAAGGUGUCUUGGCUAAUGUGUCUUGGCUAAUGUGUCUUGGCUAAUGUGUCUUGGCUAAGGUGUCUUGGCUAAGGUGUCUUGGCUAAGGUGUCUUGGCUAAGGUGUCUUGGCUAAGGUGUCUUGGCUAAUGUGUCUUGGCUAAAGUGUCUUGGCUAAGGUGUCUUGGCUAAGGUGUCUUGGCUAAGGUGUCUUGGCUAAGGUGUCUUGGCUAAUGUGUCUUGGCUAAUGUGUCUUGGCUAAAGUGUCUUGGCUAAGGUGUCUUGGCUAAGGUGUCUUGGCUAAGGUGUCUUGGCUAAGGUGUCUUGGCUAAGGUGUCUUGGCUAAUGUGUCUUGGCUAAUGUGUCUUGGCUAAUGUGUCUUGGCUAAGGUGUCUUGGCUAUUGUGUCUUGGCUAAGGUGUCUAGGCUAAUGUGUCUUGGCUAAGGUGUCUUGGCUAAGGUGUCUUGGCUUAUGUGUCUCGGCUAAUGUGUCUUGGUCAAGGUGUCUUGGCUAAGGUGUCUUGGCUAAUGUGUCUUGGCUAAGGUGUCUUGGCUAAUGUGUCUUGGCUAAGGUGUCUAGGCUAAUGUAUCUUGGCUAAUGUGUCUUGGCUAAUGUGUCUUGGCUAAGGUGUCUUGGCUAAAGUGUCUUGGCUAAGGUGUCUUGGCUAAGGUGUCUUGGCUAAUGUGUCUUGGCUAAAGUGUCUUGGCUAAGGUGUCUUGGCUAAGGUGUCUUGGCUAAGGUGUCUUGGCUAAGGUGUCUUGGCUAAUGUGUCUUGGCUAAUGUGUCUUGGCUAAUGUGUCUUGGCUAAGGUGUCUUGGCUAAGGUGUCUUGGCUAAGGUGUCUUGGCUAAGGUGUCUUGGCUAAGGUGUCUUGGCUAAUGUGUCUUGGCUAAAGUGUCUUGGCUAAGGUGUCUUGGCUAAGGUGUCUUGGCUAAGGUGUCUUGGCUAAGGUGUCUUGGCUAAUGUGUCUUGGCUAAUGUGUCUUGGCUAAAGUGUCUUGGCUAAGGUGUCUUGGCUAAGGUGUCUUGGCUAAGGUGUCUUGGCUAAGGUGUCUUGGCUAAGGUGUCUUGGCUAAUGUGUCUUGGCUAAUGUGUCUUGGCUAAAGUGUCUUGGCUAAGGUGUCUUGGCUAUUGUGUCUUGGCUAAGGUGUCUAGGCUAAUGUGUCUUGGCUAAGGUGUCUUGGCUAAGGUGUCUUGGCUUAUGUGUCUCGGCUAAUGUGUCUUGGCUAAGGUGUCUUGGCUAAGGUGUCUUGGCUAAUGUGUCUUGGCUAAGGUGUCUUGGCUAAUGUGUCUUGGCUAAGGUGUCUAGGCUAAUGUAUCUUGGCUAAUGUGUCUUGGCUAAUGUGUCUUGGCUAAGGUGUCUUGGCUAAUGUGUCUUGGCUAAGGUGUCUUGGCUAAUGUGUCUUGGCUAAGGUGUCUUGGCUUAUGUGUCUCGGCUAAUGUGUCUUGGCUAAUGUGUCUUGGCUAAGGUGUCUUGGCUAAAGUGUCUUGGCUAAGGUGUCUUGGCUAAGGUGUCUUGGCUAAUGUGUCUUGGCUAAAGUGUCUUGGCUAAGGUGUCUUGGCUAAGGUGUCUUGGCUAAGGUGUCUUGGCUAAGGUGUCUUGGCUAAUGUGUCUUGGCUAAAGUGUCUUGGCUAAGGUGUCUUGGCUAAGGUGUCUUGGCUAAGGUGUCUUGGCUAAGGUGUCUUGGCUAAUGUGUCUUGGCUAAAGUGUCUUGGCUAAGGUGUCUUGGCUAAGGUGUCUUGGCUAAGGUGUCUUGGCUAAGGUGUCUUGGCUAAUGUGUCUUGGCUAAUGUGUCUUGGCUAAAGUGUCUUGGCUAAGGUGUCUUGGCUAAGGUGUCUUGGCUAAGGUGUCUUGGCUAAGGUGUCUUGGCUAAUGUGUCUUGGCUAAUGUGUCUUGGCUAAAGUGUCUUGGCUAAGGUGUCUUGGCUAUUGUGUCUUGGCUAAGGUGUCUAGGCUAAUGUGUCUUGGCUAAGGUGUCUUGGCUAAGGUGUCUUGGCUUAUGUGUCUCGGCUAAUGUGUCUUGGCUAAGGUGUCUUGGCUAAGGUGUCUUGGCUAAUGUGUCUUGGCUAAGGUGUCUUGGCUAAUGUGUCUUGGCUAAGGUGUCUAGGCUAAUGUAUCUUGGCUAAUGUGUCUUGGCUAAUGUGUCUUGGCUAAGGUGUCUUGGCUAAUGUGUCUUGGCUAAAGUGUCUUGGCUAAGGUGUCUUGGCUAAGGUGUCUUGGCUAAGGUGUCUUGGCUAAGGUGUCUUGGCUAAUGUGUCUCGGCUAAUGUGUCUUAACUAAGGUGUCUUGGCUAAAGUGUCUUGGCUAAGGUGUCUUGGCUAAGGUGUCUUGGCUAAGGUGUCUUGGCUAAGGUGUCUUGGCUAAGGUGUCUUGGCUAAUGUGUCUUGGCUAAGGUAACUUGGCUAUUGUGUCUUGGCUAAGGUGUCUAGGCUAAUGUGUCUUGGCUAAGGUGUCUUGGCUAAUGUGUCUUGGCUAAUGUGUCUUGGCUAAGGUGUCUUGGCUAAUGUGUCUCGGCUAAUGUGUCUUGGCUAAGGUGUCUUGGCUAAGGUGUCUUGGCUUAUGUGUCUCGGCUAAUGUGUCUUGGCUAAUGUGUCUUGGCUAAGGUGUCUUGGCUAAAGUGUCUUGGCUAAGCUGUCUUGGCUAAGGUGUCUUGGCUAAUGUGUCUUGGCUAAGGUGUCUUGGCUAAGGUGUUUUGGCUAAUGUGUCUCGGCUAAUGUGUCUUGGCUAAGGUGUCUUGGCUAAGGUGUCUUGGCUAAUGUAUCUUGGCUAAGGUGUCUUGGCUAAUGUGUCUUGGCUAAUGUGUCUUGGCUAAUGUGUCUUGGCUAAUGUGUCUUGGCUAAGGUGUCUUGGCUAAGGUGUCUUGGCUUAUGUGUCUCGGCUAAUGUGUCUUGGCUAAGGUGUCUUGUCUAAGGUGUCUUGGCUAAGGUAUCUUGGCUAAAGUGUCUUGGCUAAUGUGUCUUGGCUAAUGUGUCUUGGCUAAGGUGUCUUGGCUAAGGUGUUUUGGCUAAUGUGUCUCGGCUAAUGUGUCUUGGCUAAGGUGUCUUGGCUAAUGUGUCUUGGCUAAUGUGUCUUGGCUAAUGUGUCUUGGCUAAGGUGUCUAGGCUAAUGUAUCUUGGCUAAUGUGUCUUGGCUAUUGUGUCUUGGCUAAGGUGUCUAGGCUAAUGUGUCUUGGCUAAGGUGUCUUGGCUAAUGUGUCUUGGCUAAUGUGUCUUGGCUAAGGUGUCUUGGCUAAUGUGUCUCGGCUAAUGUGUCUUAACUAAGGUGUCUUGGCUAAAGUGUCUUGGCUAAGGUGUCUUGGCUAAGGUGUCUUGGCUAAGGUGUCUUGGCUAAGGUGUCUUGGCUAAGGUGUCUUGGCUAAUGUGUCUUGGCUAAGGUAACUUGGCUAUUGUGUCUUGGCUAAGGUGUCUAGGCUAAUGUGUCUUGGCUAAGGUGUCUUGGCUAAUGUGUCUUGGCUAAUGUGUCUUGGCUAAGGUGUCUUGGCUAAUGUGUCUCGGCUAAUGUGUCUUGGCUAAGGUGUCUUGGCUAAGGUGUCUUGGCUUAUGUGUCUCGGCUAAUGUGUCUUGGCUAAUGUGUCUUGGCUAAGGUGUCUUGGCUAAAGUGUCUUGGCUAAGGUGUCUUGGCUAAGGUGUCUUGGCUAAUGUGUCUUGGCUAAGGUGUCUUGGCUAAGGUGUUUUGGCUAAUGUGUCUCGGCUAAUGUGUCUUGGCUAAGGUGUCUUGGCUAAGGUGUCUUGGCUAAUGUAUCUUG